UACGUAGGGGGCAAGCGUUGUCCGGAAUCAUUGGGCGUAAAGCGCGUGUAGGCGGCUUGGUAAGUCCGCUCUGAAAGCCCGGGGCUCAACCCCGGGAGGCGGGUGGAUACUGUCAAGCUCGAGUCCGGAAGAGGCGAGUGGAAUUCCUGGUGUAGCGGUGAAAUGCGCAGAUAUCAGGAGGAACACCUAUAGCGAAGGCAGCUUGCUGGGACGUUACUGACGCUAAGGCGCGAAAGCGUGGGGAGCGAACAGG
rnacentral:rRNA from 1 species